GCUCAGGACGAACGCUGGCGGCGUGCUUAACACAUGCAAGUCGAGCGGUAAGGCACUUCGGUGUACACGAGCGGCGAACGGGUGAGUAACACGUGAGUAAUCUGCCCUUCACUCUGGGAUAAGCACUCGAAAGGGUGUCUAAUACCGGAUACGACGGACCACCGCAUGGUGUGUUUGUGGAAACUUUUAUGGGUGGGGGAUGUGCUCGCGGCCUAUCAGCUUGUUGGUGAGGUAAUGGCUCACCAAGGCUUCGACGGGUAGCCGGCCUGAGAGGGCGAUCGGCCACACUGGGACUGAGACACGGCCCAGACUCCUACGGGAGGCAGCAGUGGGGAAUAUUGGACAAUGGGCGGAAGCCUGAUCCAGCAACGCCGCGUGAGGGAUGACUGCCUUCGGGUUGUAAACCUCUUUCAUCAUUGACGAAGCUUCAACGUUGUUGGGGUGACGGUA
rnacentral:rRNA from 1 species